rnacentral:lncRNA from 1 species
CUGUUGGGUCUUUCUAAUACAAGAAUUUCAGUUUAUUUAGAAAACGACUUAAUCAGUAAUCUAAAGUCAUUAGAAUAUAUGUCUCUUCGUAAUUGUAACAUUAUAAGGUCAGAUCUGGCUCUGCUUGGUAAUCUCACACAGCUCACCUAUUUAGAUCUCUCAAGUAACAAUUUUAUAGGUGAGAUCCCAUCAUCAAUUGGAAACAAUACCUUUUCAAAUUUAAAAUAUCUAUUAUUAUUUGAUAACUUGUUCAAUGGAACAAUACCAUCCUUUUUGUUUGCUCUUCCCUCUUUACAAUUUCUUAACCUUCAUAACAAUAAUCUCAUAGGCAAUAUAAGUGAAUUCCAACACCAUUCAUUGGUAAACCUUGAUUUGAGCAGUAACCACUUGCAUGGUACAAUCCCAAGUUCAAUUUUCAAACAAUAUCAAUGUGAAAUUUCAUUCUAUAAGAGAAGCUGAGAAAAAUCUGCUUAUAAAGCUACACUAUUGUCCAACAGAUGUUCAACUGAGGUCCUAGACUUGUCCGACAACAGCUUGAGUGGUUCUAUACCAUUAUGUUUGGGGAACUUCAGCAGCAAGCUCUCAGUAGUGUUAGAAUUAUGAGAUUCUGCCUUGAGUAAGAUAGAGUUAAGUGCAGUUAUGUUAUUUGAAUUUUAUGUAAUCGUUUUUCUUCUUCAGGAUUUGCAGCAGGAACUUUCUGCUAAGUUUGUUAUUUCAAUUCCAAUAAUCUCUCAAGUUUGUUGAGAGUUUCAAUCCAUUACAAGUUCUAUGUAAGUCUAUAUAUAGACAUUUGAAAUUAAUGAUAUUAUUGAUCUUUCUACUCAACUCUGCUAUCUUGAAUCUGUUUUUCUUAUACUUAAACUACAGUUUCCAGAACUAAAUAUUUCUAACAAGUAUUGCAUCUAGGCAUGAACAAUCUUCAAGGCACUAUCCCUUCAACAUUUUCAAAGGGUAAUAGCUUGGAAUAUCUCGACCUCAAUGGAAAUGAAUUAGAAGGGGAAAUAUCACCAUCUAUCAUCAACUGCACAAUGUUGGAAGUUCUUGAUCUUGGCAACAAUAAGAUUGAGGAUACAUUUCCUUAUUUUCUAGAAACGCUUCCGGAGCUGCAAAUUCUAAUUCUAAAAUCCAAUAACCUCCAAGGUUUUGUGAAGGGUCCGACUGCAGAUAAUUCCUUCUUUAAAUUAUGGAUUUUUGACAUCUCUGACAAUAAUUUUAGUGGGCCGUUGCCAACAGGGUAUUUUAAUACUCUUGAAGCAAUGAUGAUCUCAGAUCAAAACAUGAUUUACCUUAACACGACAAAUGACAUUGUCUGUGUUCAUUCCAUAGAAAUGACAUGGAAAGGUGUAGAAAUUGAGUUUCCGAAGAUCCGAAGUACCAUCAGAGUACUAGAUUUGUCAAAUAACAGUUUUACUGGAGAGAUUCCAAAGGUGAUCGGAAAGCUUAAAGCACUACAACAACUCAACCUCUCUCAUAAUUUCCUUACAGGUCAUAUCCAAUCAUCAGUGGGAAAUUUGACCAAUUUGGAAUCAUUAGACCUAUCUUCAAAUUUGCUUACCGGAAGGAUUCCAAUGCAGAUGGCACAUCUAACAUUUCUUGCAACCCUAAACCUUUCACAUAACCAGCUGGAGGGGCCCAUACCAAGUGGAGAGCAAUUCAACACCUUUGAUGCAAGAUCAUUUGAAGGAAACUCGGGUUUAUGUGGCUUUCAAGUACUAAAAGAAUGCUACGGUGACGAGGCACCAUCAUUGCCGCCAUCAAGCUUUAAUGAAGGAGAUGAUUCAACAUUGUUUGGAGAAGGAUUUGGAUGGAAAGCUGUGACAAUAGGGUAUGGAUGCGGGUUUCUGUUUGGAGUUGCAACGGGAUACGUUGUGUUUAGAACAAAUAAACCUUCAUGGUUACUUAGGAUGGUUGAAGAUAUAUGGAAUCUCAAGAGCAAAAACACGAAGAAGAAUUUCCGCAGAUAUGGUGCUAGAAGAAACUAAAUAAUUCAAUUGAUAUUUUCAAGUAAGUUUUGCAAGCAUUUGAGUUUUCAAAUUUUAUGUUCACAAUUUAUGUUAGGCUAACUUUUCUCUACUCUUUCAUUUGAUCAGUCUUACCUUUCUAAUUUUGCAGUACAAACAAGAUAUCAAGUGGAUUUGACAUUGAAACAACACCAGGGUGGCAUAUUCCCUUUACUUUUUUCUCUCUUUUUUUAGUUUCAAGGUUAAUUGGGUGUUUCUUUUAUGAAAACGAAUCCAUGUAUGUAACACAGGUUUGUGUUAACUAUAAAAUCAUUUAUGUUUUGGGUCCUAUUUUUAUGUGUCCACUUCCUUAUUCUUUAUAACUUCAAUUAAUCUUUGUUUCUGGGAGUGUUCUGAAAGUUACAGAGUUAUGAACAGAUAGAAGCAAUUCUUGUAAAUUUAAAAGAACACUUGACUGAUAGAUUCUGUUAUCACAACAGCAGCAAUAUUUGCAAGCAAAAUAGAGUAAUUCUGAUAACUUGGAAGUCAUAAAUGACUAUUAAAAAGUGUAACAAACCCAUCUCAAAAGGUACAAACAAUGUUCGACAACUCUUACACAGAUCCAAAAUCAGUCAACAUUGGUGAUUGGCAAGUUUAUAUCUAAAGCAAAAGAAAGCAAGAUAGGUAUUAAUACCACGUUAAGAGCUCUAUGCUACAAUAAAUCUACAAUUCUGAGUCGCCUAAAAACAACAUAUUCUACUUAGAACAUUUCAGAAUUGGAAAAAAAAUUAAAAUAAUUUAAAAUACAAUUUCUCUUGGCCUCAUAUUAAGAAAAAAACAGAUGAAUAUUUCAAGGGUCCUGAUUAUCCAACUGAAGAUUCAAGAUUUGAGAUACUACGAGUUUAGAGAGUUCAUUAGUUGUGGAUUCAACCUGAUAGUCAUCUGACUGCCUUGGCCACCCAGGUGAAUGAGAGCUUGACCUAGUCUUGGUUGGUGUGCCAUGAACUCUCUGCAAGUCUGACUGGGACAAUGGCAUUGGAUAGAGCACAACAGGCAACAAUUACCAAAACUUUUCCAUGACACCCUCAGGCAUGCAUGGGAUUUCUAUGCAAAUAUUACAAAUCAAUAAAAAUACCUUGAAAAAUUAGCUGGGAAUAUAACAAAUCACAGAUGAGAACUAUAUUGUUCAAUAUACUAUAAAAUAACUGAUGGAAGCAUGGAACAACACGAUGAUAAAUAUAUACUUACACUAGAUUUUUCCCCUUUGUUCACCUCAUCCAAUAGGUCCCUAAUAGGAAAAUAAGCUACUUUCUUGCAAGGUUCAAGAAGAUCUGAACCAGUGUAGCCCUUACACAAAAUUGCUAUACAGUCAAAGUCAAUUUUGCUUUUGAUUUUCUCCUCUUUCAAAACAACCUUCAAGAUCUCAGCCCUCUCUCUUUGAUCAGGUAUCCCAAUUUCAAAGGCCUGAGGAAGCCUCCGGAGGAUUGCUUCAUCGAGUUCUUAAGGUCAGUUGGUUGCAGCAAGUAACAUCUCUUGUGCGUUCUCUUCAAAACAGCCUUCAAGAUCUCAGCCCUCUCUCUUUGAUCAGGUAUCCAAAUUUCAAAGGCCUGAGGAAGCCGCCAGAGGAUUGCUUCAUCGAUUUCUUAAGGUCAGUUGGUUGCAGCAAGUAACAUCUCUUGUGCGUUCUCUUAAGAAUAGUAUCACCAUAAAAUAAAUAAUAAUCAAAAUAAUAAAGAUAAAAUCUAAAAAAUAAAAAAAUAAAAGAUGAAGAAAUUAAAAUAAUAAUAAUUAAUAUUUCAUAAAUUAUUUCAAAUAAAAUAAGUAAUAAUCAAAAGAAUGAAGAUCAAAUUUGAUACAUAAAAAAUUUCAAUAAAAAAAUGAUAAGAGAAAAACAAAUAACAAUUAUAAAAAUAAGGACCAAAGUUAAUAUAAAAAUUAAAUUUUAAGAGAUGAAAUUGAAAAAUAAAUAUUCAAAACAAAAUAUAUAUAGAAAUCAAAAGUUUGAGGACCAAAUUUGAUAUAAUCAGCAAAUAAUAUGACAUUUCUAAAUUUUUCACAAUUUCCGGAAAGUGUUUUCUGCCCAAAUUUUUCAGGAAAACAAUUUCCUGAAAACCAAGUUAAAUUUUCCUUUAACUGUAAAGUAUUUUCCAUUGAUCAACUUUUCUAAUAAUAAACAAACACAAAAAAAUUUAAAAAAUAAUUUUUUAAAAAUAAUUUUUCAGGAAACAAACAUAGCCUUCAUAAAAACACAUUCUAGCAAGUCACUGCAUAAAAAGACUACACAAAUGCAGCACUUGUUUCAAGAGUAAGAACUCACGAUCUGUAGUAAACCCAUCCCAUAAUGCUAUGAACUCAGUCUUCAUAGUGGUUAAUGCCUCAUGAUCUGUAGUACGAUACUGCCAUAUUCAAUAGUGUUUAGAGGAUAGGCUUGAUUGUUACAGAGCAUUUGCAAUUAAGGUUUCAUAAUUGAAAAGUUGGUUUUCGAAUCCUAAUUUCAUCAUAAAACCCAAUUACAAUCGAUUUGAUGUAUUCAAAGUAAUUUAAUGAUAUUUUUUAAUAUUAAUCUCAAAAUUUUAAUAUAUUAAACAACUUUAUUAGUUUGUUUUCCAUUUGUCAGAAAACACAUCAAGAACNNNNNNNNNNNNNNNNNNNNNNNNNNNNNNNNNNNNNNNNNNNNNNNNNNNNNNNNNNNNNNNNNNNNNNNNNNNNNNNNNNNNNNNNNNNNNNNNNNNNCGAUCUCUUAGUUUGCAUUUUAGAAUGAACAAUCGCAUGAAAAACAAUCCCUGAAAAUAAUUAUCCUUUUUCUGAGCACAACUGAUUUCAGCUGAAAAGAGGGGAAAGGAAAAUAAUUAUCCUUUUUCUUCCAACAACCUAUCCCCAGAAAAGAUAUUUAAUCCAUUCAGAAAAUCAAUAUUGUCAUGCAUGUUCCUAUUCUUAUUCUCAUUAAUUAAUGAAAUGUUUUUUUGACACUAUGGUAGCUUUUGUUUUUUUUAUAAAAACAUAUUGCCUAAAAAAGCAUUAAAUUAAAUAUUUUGUGUUUUUUAAUGUUUUUGAUGUGUUUAUAUAUAUUAAAAUUAAAAAGAAUUAAAUAUAUUUUCAAUUAAAAAAUACAUUCAAAAAAUAUAUUGCACAACAUUAUGAAUCACACAGAAAGACUUUUAGGUAAUGAGAAAUGAUAUAUGUGCAAAGUCAUUAGUGCUCCAUUGCUUGGAUUGGAUUGGACAUAAGGAGGUGAACAUGACUUUGCUUAUCAAUUUUUUUUUAUUUCAGUUACGUAUGCAUAAUCCCAUAGUUUAAUUAUUUUUUAUUUAAAAUAGAAAAAGGAAAAAUCAAAGUAUAUCAAUUGAAGGAAUGAUAAGCCUGAAAAGUAUUUUAAAAAAAACAAAAUAUUACUAAUCAAGAUUUGUCAAAUAACUAUUUAGUUAUUUUUAAUACUAAAAGGAUUAAUUAAUUUAAGAAAUAUUAGCAACCUCUAAAACACUAUCUAAUCCUUUUAAGAAAUCAAUAUUUAUUUUUUUAUGUUUUUUUAUGAUUUUAAUAUAUUUAUAUUAAACAUUAAAAAUAAAUUUUAAAAAUGCCAUAUUAAUAUAUUUUCAAAUAAAGAAUACAUUUGGAAAAUAAUUAAACUGCCGUACAUUACCGAGCGCAUACAAAAAGUAUGAUCCAUAAGUGCAAAGUCGUUAGUGCCCCCAUUGCUUUGCGUAAUUAUUUCUUUGCCAAUAGACAACAAUUUAGUUUGCGCAAUUUGAAAGGAACCUUACAUAUUUCCAAGGUUUUUAUUCUUACUUUAUUUUUUUAAUUAUUAAAUCCUAAAAAAUAUUCAAAUAUAUCGAAAUAACAUGUUUUUAAAAACAUUGAAAACCAUAUAAAAAAAUAUUAAUUUGAUACUCUUACGAUUACCACUAGAUAAGCUAAAAAUAAAGUUCUAAUUAGUAUUAUAAGCCAUAUGUUGAGCUACAAGUUUUUAUUUAUUUAUUCUUAUGAAUUUUAAUAUAAAAGGGUAUGAUAUUGUGUAAGUGAUAUUUUAUCCUUAGAUGUAUAAAAUUCUUCCUAAAUAUUUGACACAGUCUCAUGUUUGAUAAAUUUCAAAUCAUUGAUAAUUUAGAUUUGAAAUAUCAACUUUUUGAUGCCAACAUCAUGAUCAUCUUGUUCUAUAAUUGGGAUUAAUUCAUUAGUUUCAAGUAACAUUUUUCUAUAUUCCUAGUAGUAUAAAAAUCUUUUAAGGACCUAAUAUAUUUCUAUCACUAUUAAUAUUUUAUAACGAAUAUUUAUCUCUCAUUAAUAUUUUGCAAGAAAUAUUUGUUUCUCAUUUAUUAUUGCUAAAAGAAGGAAAUGACUCUUAAUAACUUAGUUUUUGAAAUAUUAAUUUGAAACAAAAAAAAAAUUCAAUUGUUUUAAAAAGCGUUUUUGAAACGAAAAACAAACAAAACCCACUAAUGUGCAAUUUAAUCACUUAGCUUUAAAGUACUUCAUGUGGAAGUAACUUAGUAGUAGGUGACUUAGAGGAAGAGUCUAAUGAUGCUAUUUAUCCUCUCUAUUAAUCAAUAGUUCUUUCUUAUUCAUCCUAUCUAGUUUCAAACCAUUUUUAUUUUAUUAAUUAAUAGUUUAUUUUUUUAAUUAACAUGAAUAUCCGGCAACUCAAUUUAUUAACAUCUAGUAACUUAGUACUAGUGAAUUAAGGGACUUCUCCUCGCGUGAAAUAUUCACUGACUUUGAUUAUCAAUUUUUUUUCAAUUAUGUAUACAUAAUUCCAUAGUUUAAAUUAUUUUUUUUUAGAAUAGAAAAAGGAAAAAUCAAAGUAUAUCAAUUCAAGGAAUGAAAAGACUUUGGAUCAUGAGAAACAAGUUAUAUAUAUAUAUAUUAGUGCGAAGUCAUUGGUGCCAAGAAACCACAAUUCAGUUUGCACAAUUUGAAGUCAACAGGGAAUCAAGUUGAUAGGAACCUUAAAUAUUGAUGAUGUUGUUCGGGUUUACGUAGUUUUGUGGUUUUUAAAUUUAUAUUUUUAAAUUGCCUUGUAAUAAACUUAUUGAUAGAAUUCGGAUUCAGGAUUCUAUAGGUUGCAAGCUUUUUAAGAUUUGACCAUGUUUAUGAUGUUAUUCGGGUUUACGUAGUUUUUACAGAUGUUUACAAUUUCACCACCUAUGAUUUUUCUUAAUUUUUAUAAUUUUUUCCGAUCUCAUCCUUUAAAAUUAAAUUGGUUGAAAAUUAUGCUUCUUGAUUGAAUCUAGGUAAAAAAAUUCAAUAGAUGCUGCUUUUAGAUAUUAAAUCAGGUUUAAGAGAUUUAUCCUAUUUUUUUUAUUUUUCUAAAUUGAUGUUGUCUUAUUUUUUAUCCUUUUUUUUUUACUUUUUUUAUAUUUUUUUGUUUAAUUCUCUAUUUUUAUUUUAUUUUUUAUUUGAUUAUAUUGGGUUAGCCGUCGACAAUUUUUUUAUAUUUCAUGCCCACCAUUUUGAAAUCUAUAAAUAUUCUAUCAUAUUACAAAUGAUUUUUAAUUUCACCCCCUAUGAUUUUUUAAUCUUCAAGUUUGGUACUAAUUUUUUUUAAUUGAAAUUUUUUUUGUUUUGAAUAAUUGCGAUAUUUCUAGCAUAUGUUUGCUUGAUUUUUUUUAUCCCUUUUUUUAAGCCAAUAUUUUUUGUUAUUUGUUUUUUUUUUUAAGAUUGACUCUUUUUUUUUCUUUGUUUUUUUUUCCAGUUAGGUUAACAUUGAGUUGUGUGAUAAUCUAAAUAGGUUCAGAUGUGGGUUUUUUUUGUCAGUUUAUUUGUUGUUGUUGUUGGAUUUUUUUUAACUUAUCAUUUUUUUAUAUUAAAGUAAUUGUUUGACUUGCAAGAACACGCGGACAACAUAUCUAGUUAUAAACCAAAUGAGAUAUAAUCCACACUCUUUAACAUAUUGAUACGAAAUAUAGAGGUUUGAAAUGUAUAGUUAUAUUUAUUCAGUCAAUGCAUGAUUCACUCUAUUUUUUUUUGUUAAAACAAGUAUGGUAUAGCAAAUUAAUCAUGAUUUUUUUAAAAGCAGGGCAUGUAAUUAAUGCUUUUAACAUGAAAGAAAUCACCAAUUUUUAUCACUAAUCCACAAUAUAAUUGAUUCUGCAAUUUUGAAGUUGGAAACCACAAUAAAUAGCUUACUCACCAGAUGCAUUAACCUAAUUUUAAAUGCAAAGGCCUUCAGCUUCAAGUGGCAUAUAUGUCAAUUCAUAUCAACUCUAACUCGACGCAACCAUUCUUUUUUUUUUUUAUUUAAAGAAAAGGCUUAUAAUAUAUAUUUUUUAAAGCUGCUAAGUGCUAAUCAAUGUUUCUUAAGUAAAACAUGAAAUCAUGCUCUUAACAUGAAACUAAUUAUGAGUUGGAAUCCACAUAAUUAGCUUAUAAUGCGUUAAUUUCAUUUUAAACGACAUGAUCUUCAACCUCAAGAGGCAAAUAAUUUGUCAACAUAGAUAGCUAUUCGUGCAAAGUAAACUCUCACAAGCUUAGUUUUGUUGUAAAAUAUUAAGUAUCCUCCAUUUUUUUAUAUAAAUAAUUAAUUUCUUGAAAAAUAUAUAAGUCUGAACAUGGAUGUAAUUUUUUUAGUGCAAUCAAAAGCACUUAGCAGCUUUGAAGAUAUUGAUCCAAACAUCCUAUUGUACAAAAAAAUGUUAUAUGAACAUCACUAAUGUUGAUUUGAAGAUAUUGAUCAUGUUAUUAUUUCUUUUAACAAAGCAAUCCAAUCGAGCCCACCUAGAAUUAAAACUAAAACUCACCGUCCCUUUCAAUAUUGAGUUCCAAUAAAAGGUAAAAAUAAAGUGCAAUAUUGGACGAAAAGAAAGUGCAAAAUUGAAACUCACCGUCCCUUUCAAUAUUGAGUUCUUACUCCCAAAAAAAUAAGUAAAUGUAAAUUGAUGUAAUUUAUUUGUAACAAGCUAUUAAACUCGAUUAGUUCAUGUUGAUUUUCUUAAAAAUUAAGUGGAAGUUGAACUAAUAUAAUUUAAAUGACCUAAUCAUGAUUUAGUUGAUACUAUCAAAAUCUAAGACAAUUUUAAAAAAAAUUAAAAUAAUAUUAUUUUAAUUAAUAGAGCUUAACCUGUGAUCUAGAUUUUUUAUCUGAGUUUUAAUAAUCAAAGAGUUGGAUUUUACCAUCUAGAUGUAAUUUUAACAUCUUCUCUGCUUCAUAUCCACAAAACUUGGGUUAGAGAAAAACAAAUAUCAUAAACAUUUCUUACCCAUAAUAAAGUAACUUUUUUUCUCUCUAAAAAAUGCAAAAGAACUCUCUUCAUUUUAUUUAUGUCAAGUAGUUAAUCAAAUCAAAUUAACCACACUUUGAUGCAUGCUCAUAGCUUAAUGUACAAAUAAUGCGCACAUAAUUUUCCACUGAAUUAAGGUGAUUUAAACGGAGAUAUUUAUUGCCCUAUUCCUUUCAGCAAAAUGGUUUCCUUCUUGGAGGGUGUAUAUAUGUGGUGUUUGUUUUGGAAUCAUUUUUGAUUCCUAGGACGAUUGUGCUAUGACGAGAGGAUUCCCUUUGCACGAAGCAACCAAUUUUGAUUCUUAUCGCAUCAUCCUAUGAACCAGAAAUUAAUGGUCCAAAACAGCGGUCCCACCUAUAGUAUGAUAAGAUCAUCAAUCAUCAAAUACCAUCCCCACCAUUUCCUGGGCCCACCCCACCAUCCACAUGAUCUCUCUCUCUCUCUUACAUCAAUCAUUUUUUUUGACAUGAUAUUUCUAUACUAAUGGCCUUAAAACUUGCCUUUCUCCUCUGGUUAACUGAUCUUGACAUGUUUUGGCCACACGUCUUUUGCUAAUGUUGUCUUUUUUGAUCCUUCCACUAUACAUUAUAUCUUAAUUUGAUCCUUGUCCUAUUUGCUAAUGUUGACCAAUGCUAAAACCACUACUAUAAAAAUUCUAUUGACUAGUUGAAAAGAAACAUUCCUUCCUGCUUAAGGAAUCUUGAAUGGGUCUAAACUCCAUAUGAAUGGCUGUUCUUUUAGCAAAUUUUCAUUCCAAUGUAAUGUUUGAUGAUUUAUAAAUAAAUUAUUGUCUAUUCCUUGAUUUAUGAAUGUGAUUAUAAUUUAGUCUUUCAUGUUCAAAAAUCUACCACUAAGUAUGUGUUUGAUAAUACGGUGCAGAGAACUUUUUAAAAUAUUCUUUAAUUAAAAAUACAUUAAAAUAACAUGUCUUUUUAAAAAAAGACAUCGACAUAUUAAAAACAUUGAAAACCAUAUAAAAAUAUCAAUUUGAUGCUUUUACAGCUACCACUAAACGAGCUAAAAAGAAAUUCUAAUUAGCAUUAUAGGCCUCGUGUUGGACUACAAAGUUUUAUUUGUUUAUUCUUAUAAAUUUUAAUAUAAAAUGGUAUAGUAUUGUAAAAGUGAUAUUUGUCCCCGAGGGUAUAAAAGUCUUCCUAAAUAUUUGGCACAAUCUCAUGUUUGAUAAAUUUCAAAUCAUUGAUAAUUUAGAUUUGAAAAAUCAACUUUUGAUGUCAACAUCAUGAUCAUUUUGUUCAAUAGAUGAGAUUAAUUCAUCAGUUUCAAGUAUCAUCUUCCUAUAUUCCUAGGAGUAUAAAAGUCUUCUAAAGGCUUACAUGUUUCCAUCACCAUUAAUAUUUUAUAACAGAUAUUUAUCACUUAUUAAUAUCGUACAAGAGAUAUUUGUUCCUCAUUUAAUGUUACGUAAGAAUUAUUUAUCUUUUAUUAUUGAUAUAAGAAGAAAAUGACUUUUCAGGCCAUUCACUCCAGCAAAAUGAUAAGGUUCAAGAGCUAUAAAUACUCAUUAAAUCAUCAAGGUAAAAGGUUUACAAUCUUCAUUAUUUAUUGUAUACAUAUUUUUUAAUUAUUUGUUUACAUAAUCUAAUAGUUAAAUUAUUUUUUAUUUAAAAUAGAAUAAGAAAAAAUGAAAAAUCAAAGUAUAUAAAUUGAAAGAUUGAUAAGCAAGAAAAGUAUUUUUUUUUUAAAAAAAGUACUAUUGAAAUAAGCAUGGUUAAAAUUGGUCACAACUAUUUAAUUACUUUUAAUAUUAAAAGGAUUGGUUAAUUUGAUAAAAAUUAGCAAUCCCUAAAACACUAUUUAAUCCGUUUAGGAAAUCAAUAUCGACGUGUUUCUAUUCUUAAAACAUGUUAGUACGGUGGAGAUUGCUUUUAAAAAUAUUUUUUUAUUUGAAAAUAUAUCAAAAUAAUAUUUUUAUGUUUUUUAGAUUUAUUUUUGAAAAAAAUUAAUAUUUUUAUAUUUUUAAUAUAUUUUUAUAUUAUUUUGAUGUAUUGGAGUAAAUAACGCUCAGUUAACGCUGGACUAGCUACAAAGAAAGUUCUAAUUAACACAGACUUCAUCUCAACAAAAUGUUAAAGGAAAUAUUCUAAUUAAAUAAUUCAACCCUCAGUUCCAUAUCCAGCACCACAAGAAGAUCAGACAAUAUCUAUAUAUCCAAGUUCCGAAGACUUUUCUGGACCAUUGCCUAUUGCUUUCUGACCUUGAUAUAAAAUUGACACUUCACGAGGGUCCCAAUUUUACUGCAUGAUCGGUUAGUACACUACAACAGCUAAGCACUGCACUCCUUCAGAUUUUUCUUCGUUCUAACACAAAAAUCUCAUAGUUUAGAUUAUUUUUUAUUUAAAUAGAAAAAAGGAAAAAUCAAAGUAUAUAUCAAUUGAAAGAAAGAAAUUUUUUUUUAAUGCUUCUCCCAGUGACUUUGAUUUCGUCAGUAUACAAUCUAAGACUGUAGCGUUUGUCUAUAUAUACUACUAAUAAUGCCUUUCUUUACUUCUCAUCUUAAAUUCCCAGUUAUACUUUGAAUCCUGUAAGGCCAGCCAACAUGGGGUUUACACCACCGUGCCUCUCUCAAUCUCUCUUUUUCAUUCUGUUUCUCUUCCAUUUCCACUCAACAAUUUCAUCUCCACUCUCCUCGAAUUACCAAUCUCUUUCUCUCCUUCAAUUCAAACAAUCCUUCUCCAUUGAUAGUUCUGCUUCAUCAGAGUACUGUCAAUAUCCCUUGCCAAAAACAGAGUCAUGGAAAGAGGGUACAGACUGCUGCUUGUGGGAUGGGGUCACUUGUGACCUGAAAACCGGGCAUGUCACUGGACUGGACCUCUCUUGCAGCAUGCUUUACGGCACCCUCCUUCCCAAUAAUUCUCUCUUUUCUCUCCGUCAUCUUCAAAACCUCGACCUCUCUUUCAAUGAUUUCAACUCCUCUCAUAUUUCUUCUCGAUUUGGCCAGUUCUCCAGUCUAACACAUCUUAACCUCAGUGGUUCAAUUCUUGAAGGCCAAGUUCCAUCAGAAGUCGCUCACCUCUCCAAAUUGGUUUCUCUUGAUCUCUCUUUGAACUACGGUCUAAGUCUAGAACCAAUUUCUUUUGACAAGCUUGUUCGAAACCUAACCAAGCUUAGAGAACUCGAUUUGAGUUCGGUAGACAUGUCACUACUUGUUCCCGAUUCCUUGAUGAAUCUGUCUUCUUCUCUGUCAUCGCUCAAACUCAAUGACUGUGGAUUGCGAGGAAAAUUCCCAUCCUCAAUGGGGAAAUUUAAGCACCUUCAGUACUUGGAUCUUGGAGGGAACAAUCUUACUAGUCCAAUUCCAUAUGAUUUUGAGCAACUCACUGAGAUGGUUUCACUUGAUCUCUCUGGAAACGGCUAUCUAAGUCUAGAACCAAUUUCCUUUGACAAGCUUGUUCGAAACCUAACCAAGCUUAGAGAACUCGAUCUGAGUUCGGUAGACAUGUCACUACUUGUUCCCGAUUCCUUGAUGAAUCUGUCUUCUUCUCUGUCGUCACUCAAACUCAUUGACUGUAGAUUGCAAGGAAAACUCCCAUCCUUAAUGGGGAAAUUUAAGCACCUCCAGUACUUGCGUCUUCGAGGGAACAAUCUUACUGGUUCAAUUCCAUGUGAUUUUGAGCAACUCAUAGAGUUGGUUUCACUUGAUCUCUCUGAAAACUUCUAUCUAAGUCCAGAACCAAUUUGUUUUGACAAGCUUGUUCGAAACUUAACCAAGCUUAGAGAACUCAAUUUGGCUUCUGUAAAUAUGUCUUUGGUUGCACCUAAUUCCUUGACGAAUCUGUCCUCUUCUUUGUCAUCUCUCUCCCUCAGUAAGUGUGGAUUGCAGGGGAAAUUCCCGGGUAACAUCUUUCUCCUCCCAAACCUUGAAUUUCUCUAUUUGUCACAAAACAAAGGCCUCACUGGCUCUUUUCCUUCGUCCAAUUUGAGUAAUGUCCUCUUUCUGUUGGGUCUUUCUAAUACAAGAAUUUCAGUUUAUUUAGAAAACGACUUAAUCAGUAAUCUAAACUCAUUAGAAUAUAUGUCUCUUCGUAAUUGUAACAUUAUAAGGUCAGAUCUGGCUCUGCUUGGUAAUCUCACACAGCUCACCUAUUUAGAUCUCUCAAGUAACAAUUUUAUAGGUGAGAUCCCAUCAUCAAUUGGAAACAAUACCUUUUCAAAUUUAAAAUAUCUAUUAUUAUUUGAUAACUUGUUCAAUGGAACAAUACCAUCCUUUUUGUUUGCUCUUCCCUCUUUACAAUUUCUUAACCUUCAUAACAAUAAUCUCAUAGGCAAUAUAAGUGAAUUCCAACACCAUUCAUUGGUAAACCUUGAUUUGAGCAGUAACCACUUGCAUGGUACAAUCCCAAGUUCAAUUUUCAAACAAGAGAACUUGGAAGCCCUCAUUCUUGUGUCCAAUAGUAAAUUGACAGGUGAGAUUUCUUCUUCUAUUUGCAAGCUGAGAUCCCUUGAGGUCCUAGACUUGUCCGACAACAGCUUGAGUGGUUCUAUACCAUUAUGUUUGGGGAACUUCAGCAGCAAGCUCUCAGUAUUGCAUCUAGGCAUGAACAAUCUUCAAGGCACUAUCCCUUCAACAUUUUCAAAGGGUAAUAGCUUGGAAUAUCUCGACCUCAAUGGAAAUGAAUUAGAAGGGGAAAUAUCACCAUCUAUCAUCAACUGCACAAUGUUGGAAGUUCUUGAUCUUGGCAACAAUAAGAUUGAGGAUACAUUUCCUUAUUUUCUAGAAACGCUUCCGGAGCUGCAAAUUCUAAUUCUAAAAUCCAAUAACCUCCAAGGUUUUGUGAAGGGUCCGACUGCAGAUAAUUCCUUCUUUAAAUUAUGGAUUUUUGACAUCUCUGACAAUAAUUUUAGUGGGCCGUUGCCAACAGGGUAUUUUAAUACUCUUGAAGCAAUGAUGAUCUCAGAUCAAAACAUGAUUUACCUUAACACGACAAAUGACAUUGUCUGUGUUCAUUCCAUAGAAAUGACAUGGAAAGGUGUAGAAAUUGAGUUUCCGAAGAUCCGAAGUACCAUCAGAGUACUAGAUUUGUCAAAUAACAGUUUUACUGGAGAGAUUCCAAAGGUGAUCGGAAAGCUUAAAGCACUACAACAACUCAACCUCUCUCAUAAUUUCCUUACAGGUCAUAUCCAAUCAUCAUUGGGAAAUUUGACCAAUUUGGAAUCAUUAGACCUAUCUUCAAAUUUGCUUACCGGAAGGAUUCCAAUGCAGAUGGCACAUCUAACAUUUCUUGCAACCCUAAACCUUUCACAUAACCAGCUGGAGGGGCCCAUACCAAGUGGAGAGCAAUUCAACACCUUUGAUGCAAGAUCAUUUGAAGGAAACUCGGGUUUAUGUGGCUUUCAAGUACUAAAAGAAUGCUACGGUGACGAGGCACCAUCAUUGCCGCCAUCAAGCUUUAAUGAAGGAGAUGAUUCAACAUUGUUUGGAGAAGGAUUUGGAUGGAAAGCUGUGACAAUAGGGUAUGGAUGCGGGUUUCUGUUUGGAGUUGCAACGGGAUACGUUGUGUUUAGAACAAAUAAACCUUCAUGGUUACUUAGGAUGGUUGAAGAUAUAUGGAAUCUCAACAGCAAAAACACGAAGAAGAAUUUCCGCAGAUAUGGUGCUAGAAGAAACUAAAUAAUUCAAUUGAUAUUUUCAAGUAAGUUUUGCAAGCAUUUGAGUUUUCAAAUUUUAUGUUCACAAUUUAUGUUAGGCUAACUUUUCUCUACUCUUUCAUUUGAUCAGUCUUACCUUUCUAAUUUUGCAGUACAAACAAGAUAUCAAGUGGAUUUGGCAUUGAAACAACACCAGGGUGGCAUAUUCCCUUUACUUUUUUCUCUUUUUUUAGUUUCAAGGUUAAUUGGGUGUUUCUUUUAUGAAAACGAAUCCAUGUAUGUAACACAGGUUUGUGUUAACUAUAAAAUCAUUUAUGUUUUGGGUCCUAUUUUUAUGUGUCCAUUUCCUUAUUCUUUAUCACUUCAAUCAAUCUUUGUUUCUGGGAGUGUUCUGAAAGUUAAAGAGUUAUGAACAGAUAGAAGCAAUUCUUGUAAAUUCAAAAGAACACUUGACUGAUAGAUUCUGUUAUCACAACAGCAGCAAUAUUUGCAAGCAAAAUAGAGUAAUUCUGAUAACUUGUAAGUCAUAAAUAACUAUUAAAAAGUGUAACAAACCCAUCUCAAAAGGUACAAACAAUGUUCGACAACAACAAAUCAGUCAACAUUGGUGAUUGGCAAGUUUAUAUCUAAAGCAAAAGAAAGCAAGAUAGGUAUUAAUUAAUACCACGUUAAGAGCUCUAUGCUACAACAAAUCUACAAUUCUGAGUCGCCUACAAACAGCAUUUUCUACUUAGAACAUUUUAGAAUUGGAAAAAAAAAAUUAAAAUAAUUUAAAAUACAAUUUCUCUUGGCCUCAUAUUAAGAAAAAAACAGAUGAAUAUUUCAAGGGUCCUGAUUAUCCAACUGAAGAUUCAAGAUUUGAGAUACUACGAGUUUAGAGAGUUCAUUAGUUGUGGCUUCAACCUGAUAGUCAUCUGACUGCCUUGGCCACCCAGGUGAAUGAGAGCUUGACCUAGUCUUGGUUGGUGUGCCAUGAACUCUCUGCAAGUCUGAUUGGGACAAUGGCCUUGGAUAGAGCACAACAGGCAACAAUUACCAAAACUUUUCCAUGACACCCUCAGGCAUGCAUGGGAUUUCUAUGCAAAUAUUACAAAUCAAUAAAAAUACCUUGAAAAAUUAGCUGGGAAUAUAACAAAUCACAAAUGAGAACUAUAUUGUUCAAUAUACUAUAAAAUAACUGAUGGAAGCAUGGAACAACACGAUGAUAAAUAUAUACUUACACUAGAUUUUUCCCCUUUGUUCUCCUCAUCCAAUAGGUCCCUAAUAGGAAAAUAAGCUACUUUCUUGCAAGGUUCAAGAAGAUCUGAACCAGUGUAGCCCUUACACAAAAUUGCUAUACAGUCAAAGUCAAUUUUGCUUUUGAUUUUCUCCCCUUUCAAAACAACCUUCAAGAUCUCAGCCCUCUCUCUUUGAUCAGGUAUCCCAAUUUCAAAGGCCUGAGGAAGCCUCCGGAGGAUUGCUUCAUCGAGUUCUUAAGGUCAGUUGGUUGCAGCAAGUAACAUCUCUUGUGCGUUCUCUUCAAAACAGCCUUCAAGAUCUCAGCCCUCUCUCUUUGAUCAGGUAUCCAAAUUUCAAAGGCCUGAGGAAGCCGCCAGAGGAUUGCUUCAUCGAGUUCUUAAGGUCAGUUGGUUGCAGCAAGUAACAUCUCUUGUGCGUUCUCUUAAGAAUAGUAUCACCAUAAAAUAAAUAAUAAUCAAAAUAAUAAAGAUAAAAUCUAAAAAAUAAAAAAAUAAAAGAUGAAGAAAUUAAAAUAAUAAUAAUUAAUAUUUCAUAAAUUAUUUCAAAUAAAAUAAGUAAUAAUCAAAAGAAUGAAGAUCAAAUUUGAUACAUAAAAAAUUUCAAUAAAAAAAUGAUAAGAGAAAAACAAAUAACAAUUAUAAAAAUAAGGACCAAAGUUAAUAUAAAAAUUAAAUUUUAAGAGAUGAAAUUGAAAAAUAAAUAUUCAAAACAAAAUAUAUAUAGAAAUCAAAAGUUUGAGGACCAAAUUUGAUAUAAUCAGCAAAUAAUAUGACAUUUCUAAAUUUUUCACAAUUUCCGGAAAGUGUUUUCUGCCCAAAUUUUUCAGGAAAACAAUUUCCUGAAAACCAAGUUAAAUUUUCCUUUAACUGUAAAGUAUUUUCCAUUGAUCAACUUUUCUAAUAAUAAACAAACACAAAAAAAUUUAAAAAAUAAUUUUUUAAAAAUAAUUUUUCAGGAAACAAACAUAGCCUUCAUAAAAACACAUUCUAGCAAGUCACUGCAUAAAAAGACUACACAAAUGCAGCACUUGUUUCAAGAGUAAGAACUCACGAUCUGUAGUAAACCCAUCCCAUAAUGCUAUGAACUCAGUCUUCAUAUUGGUUAAUGCCUCAUGAUCUGUAGUACGAUACUGCCAUAUUCAAUAGUGUUUAGAGGAUAGGCUUGAUUGUUACAGAGCAUUUGCAAUUAAGGUUUCAUAAUUGAAAAGUUGGUUUUCGAAUCCUAAUUUCAUCAUAAAACCCAAUUACAAUCGAUUUGAUGUAUUCAAAGUAAUUUAAUGAUAUUUUUUAAUAUUAAUCUCAAAAUUUUAAUAUAUUAAACAACUUUAUUAGUUUGUUUUCCAUUUGUCAGAAAACACAUCAAGAACUUCAACACAUAAAAUACAAUGAGCAACCCCGUUGCAGGCGUCUGAACAAAGUCCACUGGCGUCUCCCACGCGCUAGCAGCCUCCCACGUUCUUAUAUAUGAUGACGCAUACAAUAACAUAUCUAAAAUCGCUAAGAAACUAUACCUUUCUAAUUAGCAUUGCCAAGGUGAUGUGUAGCUGCCACCUCACGUUCAGAGCUAUAGACUAUUGUGGGUUCAGUAUAAUGCAAUAACCUUCCAUUGACGUUGGCAAUAGUGGAGUCCAUAGAGUUGUCACUAACCUCCUUAAUCCAUCUCUGUCAAACUCCCUCUGGCGUUAAGAAACCUAACCUUAUACUUUUUCCUCCUAGAAACAAUUCCUAAUGAUACCUGAGAACCAUCCUGUUUCCCUCAUGUUUAUAUCAGAUAAUGCACUUUAUAUUCCAUCAUCUUGAGAAUGUUAAUUAAAAGGCAAGACGAAGCCCUUACAGAGCCCAAGAAGAAGCAGCAGCAGCUCUUGAUUUGAUGUUACUCGCUAUCAAUCAAUUAGCUGACGCGUCCUUAUCCAUCUGUCUUGUUAAUAGAAACCUCUUGAAAAACCCCAUUAUUUUCCUUCAGUUUCCAGCAAUCCAAACAUCCCUCAUAACCCACUUGUCCCAUUAUCAUCAACAGUUCCUACUACUUCACUAGCUUCUUCUUUGGUGAAUUCCAUAAAGACCCACUCCCCAUCAGUAUCCCUCAGAGUACUUGAUUACUAUGGCUUUGCCAAUAUUUAUGACGUGGAAAGGAUCGGAAUUUGAGUUUGUAAAAAUUCAAGGUAUCCUCACAGUACUUGAACUGUCGAGUAAUAGUUUCACCGGUGAGAUUCCAAAAUUGAUUGGAAAGCUUAAAGGACUCCAACAACUUAACCUCUCUCACAAUUACCUUACUUGUCAUAUCCAAUCAUCAUUAGGAAUUUUGAUCAGUCUAGAAUCAUUAGAUCUAUCUUUCAAUUUGUUCACUGGAAGGAUUCCUAUACAGUUGGUAGAUCUAACAUUUCUUCAAGUCUUAGACCUUUCACAUAACCAGCUUGAAGGACCCAUACCCAAAAGAAAGCAGUUCAACACGUUUGAUCAUCGCUCAUUCGAAGGAAACUCGGGUUUGUGUGGAUUGUCUGCAUGAGCUGUAUACGUGAGGUGUAAUAUAUUAGACUGAUUCUAGAAUCUGCAAUUAUUCCUAGAAAUCUGGUAGUGAUCGACAAUCUUGUAUAGGAAUAUUUAGUUUAGGAAUAUUUAGUUUUCCUUAGAAGAGGUUGUUUCCUUUCUUGGAAGGUAUAAUUGUAUAUAUAUAUAUGGCCUCCUAACGUUGAGAAGAAUAGAGAAGUAACGAAUUAUUCUCACAAUAAUACUCUGUUUUACAUGGAUUUCCAAUGCCAGACGAAUGUAGCAAUGGCGAGGCACCACCAUUACCGCCAUCAAACUUUAUUGCAGGAGAUGAUUCAACAUUGUUUGAAGAUGGGUUUGGAUGGAAACCUGUGGCAAUUGGGUAUGGAUGUGGGUUUAUGUUUGGAGUCAUAAUGGGAUUUGUUGUGUUUAAAACAAGAAGACCUGCAUGGUUUCUGAAAAUGGUUGAAGAUCAAUGGAGUCUUAAUGCAAGCAGAACAAAGAAGAAUGCUAGUAGAAAUGGUGCAAGAAGAAACUAAACAAUGCAGUCAGUAUCUUCAAAGUUCGUUCUGUAAGUUGUUUCCUUUCUGAUUUUAUAAGUAAUCAUAACUACAGAUAUAUAUUGUUUUUAUUGCAGUAUUAUUUCAAUAAAGGUUGUGCCUUUCAUAGUGUUGAAGAUUGGAGUUGACAUUGGAACAACACUAAAGUGGCAGAUUCAUAGUGUUGAAGAUAACAGUACUAAUAAUUAAAUACUACUAAUAAUGCCUUUCUUUAUUUCUAAUCUCUCCCAAUUAUACUUCGAAUCCUGUAAGGCCAGCCAACAUGGGGUUUUCACAACUGUGCCUCUCUCAAUCUCUCUCUUUCAUUCUGUUUCUCUUCCAUUUCCAUUCAACAAUUUCUUUCUCUUCUUCUUCUCAAAUCACUCCUCCUCCUCCUCUUCUUCUUCUCAUUUGUGUGCUCAUCACCAAUCUCUUUCUCUCCAAUUCAAACAAUCCUCUUUAGGUUUUUUCUAUCAAAUUUUAUUCUCAUUCUUUCUAUUUCUAUCAAAUUCAUUGGAGUGAGAUCCAUUAGAUAAGGAAGCUACAAUGCCCUGAUUUUUAAAGUAAAUAGAGCAUCCAACAAAAUCUUGCUGCUAAUAUUGUUUCCGCAGAUGAAGAAUCACCAGUUCAUACAAAGCUUGCUUGAUAGAUUCCAAUCCUCCAAUUGAUUCAAAUUCCACAUCUAUGUGAUCAGGAUUUCUAACAUCACAUGCUAUGACAUCCUGUUCAAAAAUAAAAAUACCUUAUAAAUGAUGCAUGCAAUAAUGCUUAACACACAUACAAUAACAUAGUUAAAAUUGCUUAGAAACUAUACCAUUCUAAUUAACAUUAGACCCACUCCAAAUACUUAGAAAUUUUACUUUCCAAGAAACAAAAAACUUCAAUAUCAUUGGAGCUAACAUACUUUUGUGCAGGCAGCCCCCCUUCUACAAAGACUGCCUAAAUCUCUGUAAUUCUAUGGUAGCAUCUGCUUAAGAUUAGAAUAAAACUCAUAACCUUGGGGCACCAGAGCAAGAACUCAGAGGGAGUCCAACCAUUCCUUCUAUAUAUUUCAUAUCAAUCUGCCUCCGAAUAUGUUCAGCAUCCAAACCAUCAUUAGUAUCUCUAUGAAUACCUAAAACCUUGCCAAGGUGAUGUGUAGCUGCCACCUCACGUUCAGAGCUAUAGACUAUUGUGGGUUCAGUAUAAUGCAAUAACCUUCCAUUGACGUUGGCAAUAGUGGAGUCCAUAGAGUUGUCACUAACCUCCUUAAUCCAUCUCUGUCAAACUCCCUCUGGCGUUAAGAAACCUAACCUUAUACUUUUUCCUCCUAGAAACAAUUCCUAAUGAUACCUGAGAACCAUCCUGUUUUCCACGCUUAUUUCUUCUCCCUCCUGCCAGAGAGUUGGUUUUUUUUCCAAAUUGCCGUAGAUUUCACUAGAAUUCAGAAAAUUUGUAGAAAAGGUGUCUCGCUCUUACUGCACACCUGACACUUUCUUUCGUGUGAUUAGGAUUAAACUACCCUGCAUCUAACUUUAUCUAUAGCUCAGAGCUGACAACAUGGUUUAAGAUUGUGCAAAAACUCAAGAACUCAUGAGAAUACUACAUAUUAUAUUAAAGAUAAAGGAUAAUAUAGAGUAUUAAAAAGACAUAAAAUAUUUUGAUGUAAGAUUAGGGAUGAAUAGAAUUCCACUUUGUAUAUAUUGAGUUGCGUCUAAUUAAUAAAUAAAGAUUCGCUGAUUUUUUUUUCCAAAAAAUUAGGUCUGAUAUUUUCUUAAAUUUAUAUACUCUUAAACCUAGAGCGAAGCUAGGGAAGCAUUUUGCUAUACUUUCCUAGAUUGACUUCUUUUGAGUUUUUGUGUGCAUAGUUUUUUUUUUUUUUCCCCGAGCCCAUAUAUCAUUGGGCCUUUCAUGUGAGUUGAUUUAACCAUACUAUGAUGGAACCAUCAAUACUAAACUUUAGAAUUUCUAUAUUUUGAUGGAGGUUACAUGACUUACGUAAUAUUUAAUUGUGCAAAGUCAUUAGUGCUGCUCCAUUGCUUGGCGUAAUUAUUACUUUGCCUUGGUUUCCAUCCGUCUAGAAACAACAAUUAAUUAGUGGGACAUUAUUCUGCACAAUUUUAUUUUUACUUUAUUUUUUAUUAUUCAUAUUAUGUUUCUGUUGCAUUUUUAAUACUAAUUAACAAUUAUGUGCAUGCUCAUGAACAAAUUAAUUAGUCUUUCUUUGCUCCUAUUAAAAGGCACAUCGGAGAAGAUCAAACUUAAUUUCAUUAAUUAAGGCUUUAUCUGAAAAUUUGAUUCUCUAACUUCAUAGUCUAUAUAUUGUCUGGAUAGGUCAUUUUAUUUAAUUAAUAUAGAAAGCUCAUCCGAUAAAUGGAUGUCAACUAUUUUCAUAACAAAGUAGGAAAUAACAUGCUUUUUAAAAUUAUUUUUCUCCUUAAAAAACCUAUCCAGACACAAUUGUGUUGGAUAAACGGUUUUAUUUUAUAUGAUUUUUUUUUCUAAAGUUUCUCUAGUUAAUAUUAAAACUUAAAAGAAAAAAAGAAAAGAAAGUAAACACCCGAGGAAUAAACAUUUCGAGCUUUCUUAAUUUGGAGUGAAAAAAAAAAUUCCCCCCCUGUUUUGCAACUAUGAAAUCUUCUAGCCUAAUUAGUAGCGCUGAAUCCUGGAGCUUAAUUUACAACUUGAUGUGUGCCUUUAUUGUCUCCACACUCGCCAUUUUUUAAAUUUAUUUAAAAAAAAACACCAGAGUAGAUAAGUAGAUAUGUUGAAGGAUUGAUAGGGGAUCGAAAAAAGUAUUUUCAAAACAAAAUAUUAUGAAAUUAAACAUGAUUAACACUUAUCAAAUGACUGUUUAAUUAGUUUUAAUAAUAUAAAGAUCAAUGAUUUUUUUGCAUAAUAAGAAAAAUUACCAAUUAACUAACAAUACUGUAGUGUUCCCAUUCGUAGUCUCAAGAGUGAGGAAAUAAUUAAAGACAUUCUUAAUCAUUGUUAAGAAGAUAGAAAGAGGAGAGUUCUUCAAAAUCAUUCUUUCUUAAACAAUUGUAGACAGAAUCAAAUACAGUUCCUUCACAAAUGCAACAAACAUCAGGCAAGAAGAUAAGAUGAAUAGCCAACCAGAUUUAUAUAAUAAUAAUAAUAUUUGGUAGCAGAUACCUAUUGAUAGAGGAACAGGGAUCAAAUGCCAAGAAAGGGUAGUGUUUCAAGAAUAUUGAGUCUGUCUGAUCCAUCUACAUGGCCAUUCAAGGAGAACAGGAAACUGAUUUCCGACAAUGGGAGGUAGUUCAGUUCCCGAAUCCCCUGAACUUUCCUUUCUUUGUUCCCAGGGGAUAAGCACAAAUCAAAUAGCAUUCCCAGUAUUUUUAAGAGCAUUCCCUCCAAGUCCAGAGGUUGGCGUCAUCAGUUUACGGAGAAUGGCUGCUUCUAAGACUCAAAUGUCAUCUGAUCUUGUGCUUCUUGGAAUCUAAUAAAAUAAAACCAAUGCGCUCCCAUUGAUGAAGUGAGUUGUCCAAACUUUUGAAGUGGUGUUACAAGUAACUUGAAGGGAGUGGAAAUCAUUCUGAAUUGCAUUUAACAAUUAAGAACUUCGUUUUCCCGGGAAGUUUCAUUUGUCAAUGAAUCGUUUUUGCAGCUGCCUGAAUUCUGGCCCGGAGUGCCCAACGCAUUACUAUCCUUUAAACUAUAAAAUGCUCCUUUUUUCUUAGAAACAUAUAAAUUGUUUAACCCGUCAAGUAAGCAGCCGCUUGUUCUUGUUCACAAUAACAAGCAUAAUUUAUCAGUGCAUGCAAAGGAAGAUCUUAUUAGUAUUAAGAUUAUAAGCCAACAAGGCAGAGAAGGGUAAAAGUCCCCAAGAACAUACAGUUCCUAUAGACGAGCUGCAAAGGAAUAGCACAGAAUUUAACUUGUUUCCAGGCUCAAUGUCCUUGUAGGUGAUUAAAAGCAAAGUCCAAGUGAAUAUAUUUCUGGAAAGCUGUCAUUUUACGUACUGUUUAUACAAAUUAUAAUCUUUUCACAAAUUCAUUAAUUUGUUUAUAUAUAUCCAUCUUUCCACAAAUUACAGUACUCUUGCAUUUGAGAUUUGGUCCGUCAGCACCGCACCCAGCCAAGAAAUCUGUUUAAUGCUUCUCCCAGUGACAAAAGAUCAAACCAGUUCAUUUUAAUAUAUUUAUAAUAAACAAAUAUUUUAAGAAAAAUACACUGAUCAUACACAUUACCAACCAAGUACACAGGAAAAGUUGAUAGGAACUUUUGGAUAAUUAAAAACGACUUUUGGGUCGUGAAAAACGAUACAUGUGUGCUGCCGUAAUUAUUACUUUGCCUUGGUUUCCAUCCGUCUAGAAAGUAGAAACAACAAUUUAGUGGGACAUUAUUUUGCACAAUUUUACUUUACUUUACUUUUUAUUUUUACUUUAUUAUUCAUAUUAUGUUUCUGUUGCAUUUUUAAUACUAACAAUUAUGUGCAUGCUCAUGAACAAAUUAGUCUUUCUUUGCUCCGAUUAAAAGGUACAUCGGAGAAGAUCUAACUUAAUUUCAUUAAUUAAGGCUUUAUCUGAAAUUUUUGAUUCUCUAACUUCAUUAAAUUUUGAACACAGAGGUUAGCAAAUAAGCAGAAAGAAAAAGGAUAAUUCAAUGCGUGUCUGCUAUAGCAAUCUUUAACUUCCUAACAGCUUUCAGAGGAGCACGCUGUCGGAUGCAGUUCUAAACCACAAGUCCAAACAAACAGAAAGAAAAAGGAUAACAGUGUCAACUUAGCCAUAACAAUGUCAAACAAAGAAUACUGAAAACUAAAUCAGCUACUCUACUUAGUGGAGAAUGGUGAGGUCAAAGGCAGUACAGUGAUGCCAUUAAAAUGCCAUAACCACUUAUUCCAGUAAAAAGAACCUAUGGAUAAUUUACUUUCAUAAGAGAUCAUAAUUUAUAAGAUCCUAUGUUGAUUCUCUAACUUCAUAGUCUAUAUAUAUCCAUGUUUUCCAUAAAUUAAUUAAUAUUGCCGCGUUUCCAACACUCACUCACUCUUGUAUUUGGAAUUUGGUACUGAAAGAUUGUUAGCGUCUGCAUCUUUUGGAAAAGAUUUAUCAAUAAAUGGAUGUAUCUAACCUAUGAUUGCUUCCAGAGGCAAAAAUAGUCUUGAUAUUCUGUUUAUUUUUGUAUUUUAAAAAUAUUUUAAAAAAAAAUAUUUUUUUUGUUUUUUUUUAUUUCAAAUUAAUAUUUUGUGUUUUCAGAUCAUUUUUAUGUGCUGAUAUCAAAAAUAAUUUUUUUAAAAUAAAAAAAUAUUAUUUUAUUACAUUUCCGAAUAAAACACAUUUUAAAAAAUAACUCCAACCACAAUUCCAAAAACACUUUUACACAAAGAAGUAGCCAACCAGCAAACGCCAACUAAUUAGGAAAGCCAAAUAGAUCAUUGUAUUUGUUGAUCAUGUUCUAUCAGGCAAAGGCCCGAAAAUGGACACCCCAUCAAGGUUUUCCACAACAUAAGGCUUUUAAGUUUAGAAAAUAAAAAAAUUGAAAAGAAAGUAAAAUUUCUUCUUUUAUGAAAUGCCUCUAGAAACAUAGAACAAAUCUCGAAAUCAUAGAGGCAAAUCAGAUAUAUAAACGUGUCGAUACACGACGUCGGGCGGCGGCUCCCGCUUUUUUUGUUUAUUUAACAAAAAGGGUUUUUUUCUUUGAUUAGGGGGAAACAAAGAUUUUAUUGGAGUCGCCAUCUAGUAAUUUGAGGGAACUAGAAAUCCCAAAUUAGACACUGGUCCCAGAGAUUUGGAUACGGGGUUAGUUAUGAUUAAGGGAAGGUAGACACCACCCUUAAAACUUCCUUUCAAAAGAAAGGUUACCCUUACUUGUGUGUUUUUAUUUGAUUCAAAUGCGAUUAUAUUUUGGGCUUAUUUGUAAAAAUUUUUAAUGAUUAACGUCGGUCCCUAAAAAUAGGAGACACGUUAAAAAUGACAUCAGUCCCUAAAAAUUAGGAGACUCGUCUGAGUUACCAAAAGAAAUAAUGGAUAUAAUCCAUUAUAUUUUGGGUUUAUUGGUAAUUUGUUUUUUUUAAAAUGGUUAACGUCGGUCCCUAAAAAUAGGAGGCACGUUAAAAAUGACAUCAGUCCCUAAAAAUUAGAAGACUUGUCUAAAAUAUGACGUUUUAACCCUAAAAAGAAGAGUUACGUCUGGGUUACCAAAAGAAAUAAUGGACAUAAUCCAUAUUUGGUAUUUACAUUUUUGACAUCGGUCCUUUUAAAAAAAGAGACGUGUCGACUUUGGUUUUUGUAUUUUUUUACAACAUGCAAGAAAAUUUACAAGCAUUUAUAUAUGAAAACAAAUAUCAAAAAUACCAGCAAAACGAUGGUAGGAGUAAAUUCCUUAUAAAUCACGCAGUAUUUGGCAAAAGACAUCAUCAACUUCUUGCAUUUUCAAUACUCUCAAAGUUCUCAACUUUUGAAGCUUUAACCAUGUCUUCCUCUUCUUCCAAUGCUAACCCAAACCCUGUUCCUGCAGUAGAGCCUGCAGUUUGGCGUACUACCUUUGAAGUGAAUGGUCGUCCAGUUACAAUAGAGGAUACUGUAAUGGACAAUGAAGAUAUUGUUGUAGCUGUGGCUAGAGACAUGAUCCUUCCUCGUGAUGAAAUAAUGUUGGCAGCCAGGACCGAUAUUGAAGCAGUGAAUCAGUCACUUGCUCUCAGUAUCAGAGCUACCUCGUCUUUGGUGAACGUUGAAGAGCGUCUUCAUGCUAGAAGACUUGAGUUGAAUACUCAGGUUCUUGAUCUCCAUCAUCAGAUUGAGAAUUUAAAGAAUAGACUCCAUGAUGAGAGACGUCACAGAAACAACUUGGAGAGGAGAAAUCAAGAGCUGAAUACACGUGUGGACUUUUGGCGGGACUAUGUUAACACACGACACCUCGAGUUCGAGGAAGAGAUGGAGCGUAUGCAUAAGCAAUUUGAGGAAUUCCGAGGCAUGAUUAAUCAUCAAGAUGAAAAUAUCCCUGAUCGUCCUCGCACUGUUUAACAUUUGUAUUUGUAAACCCCUUUUUCCAUGAAUAAAAAUCUAUCUUUCUUGUCUUCAUUUAUGAAUUUGGCUUUUGUGGAAUUGCCAUAUUUGAUGUGAUUUACAAGAACUUCAAUUCAUGUGAGUCUCGUUGGAUCCUAGAGGGAAUUUUGUUUCUUGAAAUAUCUGCAAAACAAAUAUGCAAUGCCCGUGAAGUUAGAUGAUAUGCAAUGCAUCUUACCUGUUUUUGAAAUAUAGGUUCCCCCCUCUUUGAUGUUUCAUCGUCAUAGGGUGGCUUUGUUUGCAUUCCAAAGCCUUCUUUGUUCUUUCGAUGCAUUGGCUCAUUCAUGUGCUAGCCAUCCGCUCAGCUGUAAAUGCAAUGCCCAUCUUGGGCUGUCCGCGAUAAUUACUGCUCUCACUGUUUAUCAAGCUUGACAAUGCCUCCAGGUGUAAUGUUGCUUGAUUUAUCAUUAAGAAGUUUAACAAAUCAUUCAUCUCUUGGAUUCUUUCAAGAAUUGUUCUUUGAUUGAUUGUGCGCAUCGUGCCAACACCUAUCAAGAUUGUCAAUCAGUUAUGAACUCACCUCCAGUUGAAACAUACCCUUCAAGUAUAUGCGGUCAUCCACUUUAAUGGAACUGUCAUGUCAUUCAGACCUGCAUUUCAUACUUUGCAGUAAAAAGCUCAUCGUUGUAUGCUCAGUUUCUUUCUCAAUAAGUUCUUCUCAACUCAUCUAACCAGAUUGUGAAAAGAAGUGUCUCGGCCUCAUCAAUGAUGUUGCUUUUAUCACCCAUACUCAUGUGGUGCAGUGCGCAUUUGAGCUUCAAAUCAGAUGGUCCCACGGUCAGUCUAGGCGGGUGCGGUGCAUCCUCCCAACAUUCAUUCAAAGCAAUCUUGUGAUAACAUCUUUCAAUAGUCAUAGCUAUAUUGGAGAUGAUAAACCAAGAUGAAGAUAUGAAGAUGUCCUUCAGGUACAUCUUUGCUCUCAAUUGUUGUCGGGGUUUACUGGAUCAUAAACUGUUCUUGAACAUCAUUGCCCUUAAUUGAUUUGAAUGUGCUCAUUCACUGAUUAUCUUUCUUUGAACCAUAUUGUCCUCAGUUUAUUGAUUCAUCAUUUGAUCAUCUCUAUCCCCCAGCUGAUUUAAACACUGUUUGUUUUCCUUCUCAGAGGUCCAUUGUAUUGCCCCCAGGAGUGUCGAGGAGAAUUGAUGUCAUUUCUGUCAGGAAUUUGCAAACUUGGUCGAUGUUUUUCUUGUUUGAAAAUCUUUCUUAUUUUGGAAUCAAAUCUCACAUUUCAAAGGUCAUGUCUAUUCAAGUCUGAUUGUUGAAAUGAAAUCAGAGAGAUGUCAAUUUUUGAAAGUAUUUUUGGAAAUCAAGCUUUAUUGGUCAAAGAUCCAACACACGCUAUUCAAUAUAGUCUUUUGAUUGUCUUGUAUUUUGAGAGAAAAGAAAUUGACUCGUUGUAAGAUUAAAAUGGUUUUUCCAUGGUUCUUUGUAUCCAUUUUAAACUCUAAUUUUGGGUAUAUCUUUUGAUUGUCUGUAAUGAGGUGACCUUUUAUGAAUUUGUGGAAAAACAAGGUACCCGAGUCAAAACUUGAGGCUUUAUCAAGAAAGAUUGUUUCUUUUUCUUAGCAACAAUUUUAUCAGCAUGCAUAAUAAUCAGUAGCUUGAUUCAUGAAGUCACGACCUGUAUGAACAACUCUUCAAUUUUUGAGAUCGCCAUUUAUCGGUUCAGAUUGCUUACUUGAUUAAAAAGGACUUUCUAAAGCACGUAAUGUAAGCUAUGGUUCAUGGCUAUGAAAGAAAGGAAUUUCACAAGCUCAAAAGGUGUUUGAGGGUUUCAAGAACCUAGGAUCACCAUCAAUUACUCAUCAAUCUCUUUUCCUCACGUUGUCUUUGUAGAGACAGUGACAUAUAACCUUGUUAAUCUUAAAAAUCAAAAUUUGUUUAACAUAGGUCAUAACGCAAAUCCAACUUUUCUUUGAUGAAUAGCCAAUCUAAUCUUUUGAAGAUCAUAAAGGCUUUAUCAUAGACACACCAAAAGACAUCACACUUGAUUUUUCGGGUUAACUUUUGGCAUUUGUUGUGUCUUUAUCAAUCUUUGGCUUUCUUCUUCUAGCCCUUUCUCAAUCAUUGGACUUUUGUUCUAAGCCUUCCCUUUAUCCAUCGACUCUAACAUUGUCUUUGUCUUUUCUAGGAAAAGAUUCUCAUUGCCCCCAGUGUGGGGUGUGAUCCUAGUCAGGGUUUUUUAUGAAAGAAAUAUUCUAUCAGCUCAAAAUGGGACUGCAAGGGAUAUAUAUUUCAAGAAUUGUGAAAGGAUGAAACAAAAAUGGCCUUUUCUCAUUUCAAGCAAGGUCGGUUAGAACCGAUAAAUUUUGACCUCAUCCAAUGUAAUGAUUUAGACUUGUACGAAUCAUAAUUCAUGAGUCCAUAACUAAUGAAUCCACUACGUGUCAUUAUGCAUACUGCUAAAACGUAGCUACAUGGUGUGUGGUUCAAUUUCAUGUGUGAGCUCAAAAGUUUCUUGGUCACCUCAUGUCAUUUCAGUAAGCAUUGAGUCAUUCAAGCAACAUAAUUUUGAUCUUCAGGAUUGACUAAUCUUAAACGCAUGUUGGAGCUUGAUCAAAAUAUUUUGUCAAAAUAACCUUUGAAAGAAACAUCUCAUGCUUUCAAAACAACAAAGGGACAAAGAAAAGACACAUUUCGUUAAAAGAUGAGAUGUGAUCCCAAAAUAUAAUGCAGAAUGACAAAACUCAUAACAAAAAGGAUCGACAGUUUAACACUCUUCUUGGAUCAGCUUUUCUGGCAAUAUCUGUGUUUUGCCAAGCAUUUCGAUCACUUGUCAAUCUGAGGAUGUUGAGGUGACAAUAUGGUCGAUGACGUCAUUUUGCACAAACUCAACUUGAUUCUUGAAAUUCUUGCAACCGUUCAACUGAAUGGCACAAAAUCCCCCAAUGAUGUUCAAAUAUCUUUUACUAAGGGAUGAGGGCUCAAAGGCGCACUCAAAAGGAGUUGAGGGCUCAAAGGCGCACUCAGAAUGGAGGUAGGGUUAGAAAACGCACUACCUAAGGGAUGAGGGCUCAAAGGCAUACUCAAAAUGGAGGUGAGGGCUCAAAAGCGCACUUAAAAGGAGUUGAGGGCUCAAAGGCGCACUUAAAAGGAGGUAGGGUUAGAAAACGCACUACCUAAGGGAUGAGGGCUCAAAGGCGCAUUCAAUAUGGAGGUGAGGGCUCAAAGGCGCACUCAAAAGGAGGUAGGGUUAGAAAACGCACUACCAAAGGGAUGAGGGCUCAAAGGCGCACCCAAAAUGGAGGUGAGGGCUCAAAGGCGCACUCAAAAGGAGGUAGAGUUAGAAAACGCACUACCAAAGGGAUGAGGGCUCAAAGGCGCACCCAAAAUGGAGGUGAGGGCUCAAAGGCGCACUCAAAAGGAGGUAGGGUUAGAAAACGCACUACCAAAGGGAUGAGGGCUCAAAGGCGCACCCAAAAUGGAGGUGAGGGCUCAAAGGCGCACUCAAAAGGAGGUAGGGUUAGAAAACGCACUACCAAAGGGAUGAGGGCUCAAAGGCGCACCCAAAAUGGAGGUGAGGGCUCAAAGGCGCACUCAAAAGGAGGUAGGGUUAGAAAACGCACUACCAAAGGGAUGAGGGCUCAAAGGCGCACUCAGAAUGAGGUAAAUUGGCGGAGUCAGGGCAAUAAGUCCAGAGUCUAACAGAUGCUGGUAGACAAACUCGAGUGGUUGAGGUAUGUCAAUCGUGGCAAAGACAUUUGAGCAAUUGAUGCUACAGUGAGAUCUGGUUGGACCACAUAAUUAAGGCUUCCCAUCGUCAGAGUCAUCCUUUGAUUCAUCUCUCAUUAUUGUUCUAGAAUUAUUGGUAGAAUCUUCAAUCAUUCCCCUCUUCAUAGCUUGUUCAAAUCUUUCGACAAUCCUCACAACAUCAUAUCAAUCUUUCCAAUGUUGUUGUGGUUAAUUGUGGAUUGGUAGAAACUUUCCAACAGCCAGGCAAUCUUGGUAGCGCAUAGAAACAUGCAGCACCACCACUGCCGACGUGUGGAAUCAUGCGUUGUCUCAACUGGAAGAGAAACUGAUGAAUAUGAAAACCCUUUUGUCUCCUCUUUGAUUCCUCACUGGCAGUGCAACAAACAAACACCUAUAGUGGGAAUUCUGCUUUGUUAAAGUUGCAAUGUCUGCUCUUGUUUUUUCUCAGAGCAGCAUCCGAUACUACUGGACCGGAAUGGUGUUCACAAUAGAGAUGUCUGAAAAGAAGGCCAAUGCACCAGGAACAGAAAGCUAGCAGCUAUUAUGUGCUCUUGGAAUAUGUGAAGGCUUUGAACGACUAUCAGUGCAGUUGAAUGAGAACAAGGGUUGUCGUCAUUAAUUGUGACUGAAGGCAUUGUUGUCAUUGUUCAUGAUGAAAAAGGAGAGGUGCAACUUCAAUGGAACGUGGACAAGUAGUGUUCCACGCAAGAGACUGUGCAGACGUUCCCUUUCCAUUCUUGAAGCUCAACACUUAUUCAAAUAAAUUUAUGAGUCGAGUAGACCUCAGCAGGUGGGGGAACUUAUGUUUCAACCCUUCAAGUAAAUGCAAAAAUGGAUGCAAAAUGUCAUAUGUUUUAUGCAUGCUUGUUAUUUGUUUCAAGUUUUCCUUUAGCUUAUGACGAGGAACAGACCAGAUCAGAUUCUCUUAAGAAAGUUCUCACUGAGGACUCCAAACUACAGGAACUUGAACCGAUUUAGGGGAGAAAUUUGAUGCCAUAAAUCAGAAUCAAAAUAAACAUUUCUCAUGAGACUCAAAUUAUGAUGGCAAACAAAUCCCUUCAUCAUGUUGGCUCAAUUCUGAUCUGGUCAAAAAAUUCUCAAUAGUAAUGGGUUUUUCCAUCUCACACUUCCUAUAAGGAUCGGUGGAGACUUAAUGAGCAUAUGAAAUGUAUAUGAACAUGUAUGUUCAUGCAUUGACAUUUGUUCGUGUCCUAAUGGGUAUAUCCUACUUGAUAGGAUCUAGCUCAUAAGGUUUGGCUCAGUUUAGUCUAUCCUUAAAGAUAUUUUUUGGUUCUUAGAUUGCCCGAAUUACUCGUGAAGUAAUCGGCCUCUUAACCUUAUACAACAUGAGUAGGGGAGAAAAACUCCACAAUACUAGUUGCAUAGGGUGAGUUACAAUCCAAGCGAAAGUCCAAAUGAGCAUCAGUGGACAUAAGUCACACUUGCCACUUGAAUCUCUCUUUUCUAACCUUAAACAGGACGAGCUCGGGUCCAGAGCUUUUAUGGGUUCACCGUGAAGUGUGUGAAUACACAAAUAAAUAACAUGUAUGCAUGUGACGAUAUGAAAAAUUGAAAAGAAUCACAGUAGAUAUUGCAUAAAAUAAAUAAUGCAAAUAAAAUAAAUGCCCAAAAAUAAAUAGCAAUAAGAAAGAGCAAAUGAAAAGCAAACACAAGCAGUUGGCUCAACCCUAAAGUCCCCAGUGGAGUCGCCAUUCUGUCGAUACACGACGUCGGGCGGCGGCUCCCGCUUUUUUUGUUUAUUUAACAAAAAGGGUUUUUUUCUUUGAUUAGGGGGAAACAAAGAUUUUAUUGGAGUCGCCAUCUAGUAAUUUGAGGGAACUAGAAAUCUCAAAUUAGACACUGGUCCUAGAGAUUUGGAUACGGGGUUAGUUAUGAUUAAGGGAAGGUAGACACCACCCUUAAAACUUCCUUUCAAAAGAAAGGUUACCCUUACUUGUGUGUUUUUAUUUGAUUCAAAUGCGAUUAUAUUUUGGGCUUAUUUGUAAAUUUUUUUAAUGAUUAACGUCGGUCCCUAAAAAUAGGAGACACGUUAAAAAUGACAUCAGUCCCUAAAAAUUAGGAGACUCGUCUGAGUUACCAAAAGAAAUAAUGGAUAUAAUCCAUUAUAUUUUGGGUUUAUUGGUAAUUUGUUUUUUUUUAAAUGGUUAACGUCGGUCCCUAAAAAUAGGAGGCACGUUAAAAAUGACAUCAGUCCCUAAAAAUUAGAAGACUUGUCUAAAAUAUGACGUUUUAACCCUAAAAAGAAGAGUUACGUCUGGGUUACCAAAAGAAAUAAUGGACAUAAUCCAUAUUUGGUAUUUACAUUUUUGACAUCGGUCCUUUUAAAAAAAGAGACGUGUCGACUUUGGUUUUUGUAUUUUUUUACAACAUGCAAGAAAAUUUACAAGCAUUUAUAUAUGAAAACAAAUAUCAAAAAUACCAGUAGAAAACCCAAAAAAUUACUUGAGUGUCACUGUAUAGGUAAAAUGCUGAAAUACCCUCGAAUUUCUCUGAAAAUUACGAAAAUGCCACUGGCGGCGCGUGUGGCACACGCGCGGCUACUGUUGGCGGCGGGGAGAUUUUCCGGCGCGCUUUCUGGCCAACCGAUGGUCGAUCCUGGUAGAUCUGAUGUCAAGGAUUCUUAUGGUGGUGGUCUUGACGGUCGUUGAUGGCUGAUGAGCGAGAAUCGACGACUUGAAGCUUCGGUGGCAGCCGACGAUCGCGGCCCUUUUCCGGCUAAAUGGGGCGGCGAAAAAGCUGAAACCAGCCGGGGUUUCGCUUUAUAUGAGGAUAGCGACCUUUAUGUGGUGGUUUGGAAGCGUGAUAUAGCCGGAGAUGGGAGAUCGGAAGAGAGAGAGGGAGUCGCCGGCGAGAGGAGAGAGAUGCUCUGGGUUACGCUACGGUGAGAACGCUAGAACGGUACACCGGUGCAGCUGAGGGCUGUGAUCCGUUGGAUCUCUGAUGGAAAGAUCAUGCGGCUGUGAUUGGCCCGAUCUGCAGGUUGAUCGGACGGUCCGGAUGAACGGAGGUUUGAUCGGGUGUGACGUGGUACACCGUGAGCUUGGUACACGGGGUGACGUGGCGCCACUGGAUCUAAGGGAAAAUUGUUUUAAGGGCUGAGAUUGAUUUGGGUUUUAAUUGGGUGUGGUAAGCCCUAUUGUAUCCUAUUAAAUCAACGGUUCAGAUCUAAACACUAUUAGAUCUAAUGGUUAGGAUAUAUUUUGUAUUUUCCAUAUUGUUUUUAAUAAAAAUCAAUAUCUUACCCGAAUGAAGAAAUAGUAAAAAAACGUGAGUAGUGUUUGCAAUUCUUUUCUUUCUUUUUUUUUCCUUCUUCCCCCUCCCCUCCUGGCGAACUAUCACUGGCUAUUUAUAGACAGGGGACAUGCAAAUCUUAAAUUUCCACAAAUCUUAUUUUUAAAUCACCGUUUGCUUUCGGCGCAACUGCCCGUUUGACAAAAUUUUUUAUUUUAUUUUUUAUUAUGUAUAAUAAUAUAUAUUUAUAUAGGUAAAAUUAAAAACUCAAUUCAGUGUUAGAAAAACCUCGUUUCAACCGCUAAAAAUUAAUUUUAAUGACCGAAAAUAAUAGUUUUGACCUAAAAUGACCUGAAACUCAUUUUUUACCCCGGUCGACAUGGUUGGACCCGUAUUGACUCGGUGGACUCGGUUUUGACCCGAAAACGGCCUGAAACUCAUUUUUUACCCUGGUCGACAUGGUUUGACCCGUAUUGACUCGGUGGACUCGGUUUUGACCGAAAAUGACGGUUUUGACCCGAAACGGCUUGAAACUCAUUUUUUACCCUGGUCGACAUGUUUUGACCCGUAUUGACUCGGUGGACUCGGUUUUGACCGAAAAUGACGGUUUUGACCCGAAACGGCUUGAAACUCAUUUUUUACCCUGGUCGACAUGUUUUGACCCGUAUUGACUCGGUGGAAUCGGUUCUUAUGGAAAGAUGCGGUUGACUCGAGAAAAAUAUAUUUUUGAAUUUUCCUUUUUCUUAAUUUUUUUGGAUUUUUAUAAAUAAUAAUAGAAAUAAAAUAACAUUUGAGAAAAUAAUAAUAGAAAUAAAAUAAUAGGCAAUAUCUUUACCAUAUUAACAUCAAGCUGUUUUAUAGAGGAAGCAGGUGCGACGUUAGAAUCAAUUACAAGACAGGAGUAUAAAUAAAUCCAUGUAUAACAAAACCUAAAUCAAUUAUUUUCACCAUUCUUUAUAAUUUGAUGAAAUGAACUCUACUCCUCAUAUCACAAUGUUUUGCAUCCUCAGAGAUCAUCCUCAGAUUGAACUUUCACUAAAUAUUUUCUUUAAUUUGCAAGCUGAAAUUCCUUCAAGUCUAACUUGUAAAAUAAUAGUUUGAGCGGUUCUACACCACCAUGCAUGUUUAGGAAACUUCAGCGACAGACUCUUAGUUUUGCAUUUUAGAAUGAACAAUCGCAUGAAAAACAAUUCCAGGCAAAAUUCUCCAUAGUAAUAAAAAUGAGAAAGAUAAAAUUGAUGUCUGAAAAGGAAUAAUUCCCCUUUCAAUGUUUAAUGCAUCAAUCAUGCUCCCUUGAUUCCAUUUAGGACUCAACAGUUAGGAAAUCAAAUAGUACUGUCGUGUUCUUAUACUUAGUCUCGUCAAUGAAGACUUUUGGUUCAUGUUAUUAGCUACAUGGAGAGUUUAGGGUUCUAUUCCAUGUCGUCUCUCCUCUCUCGUUUUCUCAUCUCUUGGCCAGUCGCAACCUACCACGAUGUUUUUUUGUAACUUGGCUGUUUGGCUACUUUCUGUUCUUGCCUGCCACGAUGAGAAAAGUAAAAUGGUUAUGACAUUUAAUCUCUAUAAUUUUAAUUGUAUUUGUGACUUAAUUAUAUAUUCUCGAUCAUUUGAUUAAUUAAUCAACACUUGUCAAAUGACUAUAUAUAUAAUUAUUAUUUAUAUGAUUAAUUAAUUUUCUUCAUGAUAAGAAACACCAAUUAACUAUGAUGCAAAUCAAUACUGUGGUGUUCCCAUUCCUAGUCUCGUCAAUGAAGACUUUUGGAUCAUGAAAAUAUAGAUAUAAUAGGCAAAGUCAUUAGUGCUGCAUUAUUUUAUAUUUAUAUAUAUAUAUAUAUAUAUAUAUAUAUAUAUAUAUAUAUAAAUUUGUGGUCUUGCUGAAUUUUGAGUCAAGAAAGCUAAUAGUGGGUUUAGGAGUAUAGUUGUGAUUGUUUUUUAAAGUGUUUUUUACUAAAAAAAUGUAUUAAAAUAAUAUUUUUUAUUUUUUAAAAAUUAAUUUUAACAUUAGUUCAUCAAAAUAAUUUAAAAAUACCAAAAAAUAUUAAUUUGAAGUAAAGAAAAAAAUAAAAAAAAUUAAUUUUUUCAAAAACAUUUUUAAAAUACAAAAACAAAUAGUUGUACAAACUACUUUAUUUUUUAUUCAUUAUCCCUCACUCAAUUUCUCAUUUCCAUUUUGUUUCCCUUGCACUUCAAUACAUUAAUUUAAUCAUCGGUCCUUCUCGGCUCCAAUUCAAACGUCGAGGAAAAGGCUGUUUUCUUUAAAUAUUCUUUUGACCAAAUUACAGCCGGUCAUUAUACGAAAACUAAAGUUCAAUUAUUGGAGCUUUUUUGUUUUUUGACACAUUAAAAUAAAGGGUAAAGUAACACGGCUAAAAAAAUAAUUAAAAAACUAGAAUAUUUUCACAAAUUACAGAUGCUAUUUGGGACUUAUUUUGAAUAAAACAUGAGGUAUUAUUCAUUAUGUUUUUGUUGCAUUUUUAAUACUAACUACUAACAAUUUCAACUCUCAAUUAUGUGCUCAUGAAAAAAUUAGUCCUUCAUUGCUCGGACUCAAAAGUUGAGGAAAAGGCACAUUCAGGUGUUUAUGAAAUUCUAUUAAUAAUAAUGGUUCAAAGUGAUUUUUAUUUAAAAAUAUAUUAAAAUAAAAUUAUUUUAUUUUAGAAAAAUUAUUUUAAAUAUCACACGCUAAAACGAUUUAAAAACAUUAAAAAAAUUAUUUUAAGCAAAAAUAAAAUUUUAAAAAAUAUAGUUUGCACCGCAUUUUCAAACACACCCGAAAAAAAAUUCAAUCGGUAGCUACACCUUGGAGAAGAUGUAACUUAAUUUCAUUAAUUAAGGUUUUAUCUGAAGAAUUGAUUCUAUAACUUCAUUUUCUUUAUAUAUAUAUAAUUUCCAUUAAUUAAUUAAUAUUGCCGCGUUUCCAACACUGACUCACCCUAGCUUGUUUUAGUCAACGAAGGGACCUAGCUACUUGAUGAGUUGAUGGUCUUGUAUUUGAAAUUUGGUCGGUCAGCCAGCUAAGGAAACUUGUUUAAUGCUUCUCCCAGUGAUAAAGAUCAAACAUAUACUAACAAUACUAGUAGACAAUAUCAAAACAAUAUACUCCUAAUUCUCACAUCACAAAAUUAAUGUCUUCUCUCAUAAAAAAAACAAAAUUCAUCAAAUUGAUAUAAAUUUAACGCAUACUAGUUUCGAUCACCAAAAAAAUCCAUAACUUAAAUUUGUGUUGAGGAAAUACCUUGAUGACGGUAAAUAUGUAAUUUUUUACAUGAUGAUUUUCAAAUAUAUUUUUAUGAUAUUUUUUAUUUUAUGUGCUCAAAAUUUUCUAUUUUUUACAUAAAAAUUAUUUUUUAUAAGUUUUUUUUUUAAAAAAAAAAGAUAAAAAAAUUAUCUAAAAAGAAUAAUGAUUUUGAAAAGAUAAAAAAAAUCCACCAUAAAUAAUAAUAAAAUAAUCUUUUUGAAAAUAAAGUAGAAAUAACUUUCCAAAGUAAAUAAAAGAAACCAAUAUUUUAAAAAUAAAACAACAAGUUAGUUUUAGUGAAAAUAAAAAAAUAGAAAAAAUAUAUUUAAUAUCAUGUAGUUAGGUCAUUUUUUUCACUUACCCGCUAUACUUUAAAAAAUUACUAUUUACAUUUUGGAUCAACACAAAUUUUCAAAUAUAAUGAAAAGACUAAAUGACCUUUAUACAUUAAAUAAGAAAACUAACUUAAAUUAAUUGUUCUUGUUUUUCUUGAAACCUUAAAAAAAACUCAAAUCUAUUGAUUUUGCUUCAUAAUAUAUUCUCCAUCUUAACCCCCAUUUAAUUUUGCCACCAGAAUAGAGGUUUGCUAAAACUUAAUUUUUAUUUUUAUUUUGACAUGCUUAUAUUAAAAAUAAAUCUUAGAAAUAUAUUAUUUAAUAUAUUUAAAAAAAAGAAGCUAAAACACUACAACAUUUAACAGUUUUACCGACAGAAUUUUUCCAUCGACGUAAGAUACAUAUUUCAUCGGUAAUUAAUUUACCAACGAAAUCACCGACGAAAAUGCUCUGUCGGUGAAUCUUUCAUCGGUAAUUAAUUUACCAACGAAAUCACCGACGAAAAUGCUCUAUCGGUGAAUCUUUCAUCGGUAAUUAAUUUUCCGUCGGUAAAAAAAAAUAUUAUUACCGACGGAACAGACGCGUCAAUAAUAAUAAUUUUUUUAUUACCAACGGAUUUACCGAUGGAUAUACCGAUGGAAUUUCCAUUGGUAAUUCCAUCGGUAAUUAUUUAAAAACAUUUUUUAAAAAAAUUCAUUUUAUAAAAUUAUAAAAUAAUAAAAUUAACAUAAAUCAACACUCUAUAAUAUACUCAAAAUGCUUGGAAAAAAGAAUAAGAAAAUCAACUCAAAACAAUUUGCAACAAAUAAAUAAAAUGAAAAAAUAAAUUCAACUAAAAAAUUCAUAUGAAAAAAAUAAAGUUGCAAUUGCUAAAAAUUUAAAAAUCCUAUAAAUAAAUCAACAAAAAAUUGAUCUCAUAUGGAAAAAAAAAUCUCACAACAACAUUUAUACAAUUAUUAAGAACAAAAACAAUUAAAAAUAAAAUAAAAAAAUAAAUAUAGUGAAAAAAAUCAUGAAAAAGAAGAAAAAAGAAAAAUCUUACCUUAAUGUAGUUGCAAGUGAAGCCAAGGAGAGAAAAAAAUUUCGUAAAGCAUAUUAAUUAAAAAAAACUAAGAGGAUAAAAGAAGAAAGAAGAAGAAGACAUACCCGAGCAUGGAGGAAAAGAGAAGUAGAUGAGGAGAGAAAAGAAGAGAAAGAAAUAGAUAUUGAUGUUUUUUACAUAUAGUGAAGAAGAAGAAGAAGAAAUGAGUCUGUCUCUUGUGAAAUAAGGGGAUUCAGGCUUUUUAUUGGGGCGCGUUAGCGACGGAUUUACCGACGGAUAAUUGAAUAUUAAUAUUUUUUAAUUAUGUCGUCGGUAAUUCCAUCAGUAAUAUUUAAUUUAAAUUUUUAAUUUCGUAAAAAGUUUUCAGAAACCGCCAACAAUUACCGAUGAUUUUUCAAUCCGUCGGUGAUUCCGUUUGUAAAAUUUAAAUGAAAAAUUUAAAUUAAUUGAUUUUUUUUCAGAAAACCGCCAAAUAACACCGAUGACUUUGCAAUCCGCUGGUGAUUUUGUCCGUAAAGAACAACAAUUAACAUUGCAAUUGAAAAGUGAACAGUUCUAGAGCUCUCUGGAAAAUACUGACGAACAAUUCCGUCGGUGAUUCCCUUUAUAACUGACAUGAUGAACAGUGUUCACAGUUUACCAACGAAUUUACCGACGGAUUUUAUAGACGAAAUAAAUUCCGUCGAUAAAAAUGACACGUCAUCAUUUUUUUUUGCUUUGUUUUAAUUUUUUUUCCCACUGUAAUUUUCUCGGUAUAUACCGAUGGAAUUUUUCCGUCGGUAAAAUUCCUCUGAAAUUUACCGACGGAAAUAUUCCCUCAGUAUUUCUGUUUGUAUUUAUUAAUUUUCUGGGAGUGAAAGAGCAUGAAACACCCCCUUAUUCUUCAAAUACUACUGAUGUUAAUAUCUUCUCUACGAAUCAACACAUCGAUGAUCAUAAUGCUAAUGGUGAUGUGAUGAUUUAGUAGUAGAAGUUGAAGGAACAAACGACCUUUAUUUAUCCUUACUAAUUAACUAUAAACCAAAAGUAGAGUGAGUUUUACUGCAACAAUCUUAGCAAAUUUAUUCGAUCAAGCGGCCCUCCAACAAUCUUAGCAAAUUUUCAAGCUUUGAGAGAAAAGCAGAUGGAGAAAAAACCCCUAGAUUUUGGGAAAAUUACGGGGUUAGGAUGGAUUUGAAUUAAAAAAAAAAUAGAGGUGAAUUGAAAAGAAAGGCAGAGACGGAGAGAAAAAGAAGGUGAUUUACAUGAAAGAUAUCCAAACUUUUUAUUAUUGUAUGCAUUAGUAUGGUUAAGACGUCGACGUGUCCAUGUUUUCCAUAAAUUUAUUAAUAUUGCCGCGUUUCCAACACUCACUCACUCACUCUUGUACUUGAGAUUUGAUUUCGUCUUUACAUGUUUUACACAUCUGUCUGUAUACAAUCUAAGAUUAGUUUGUCUAUAAAUACUUCUAACAUUGUCUUUCUUCACCCCUCAUCUCUCCCAAAUAUACUACUAAAUCCUGUAAGGCCAGCCAAACAUGGGGUUUUCACCACUGUCCCUCUCUCAAUCUCUCUCUUUCAUUAUGUUUCUCUUCCAUUUCCAUUCAACAAUUUCUUCAUCUCAUUUCUGUGCUCCUGACCAAAGUCUUUCUUUGCUCCAAUUCAAAGAAUCCUUUUCCAUUAAUAGCUCUGCUUCAGGGCGUUGCCAGCAUCCCAAGACAGAGUCCUGGAAAGAGGGUACAGACUGCUGCUUGUGGGAUGGGGUCUCUUGUGACAUGAAAACAGGGCAUGUCACUGCACUGGACCUCUCAUGCAGCAUGCUUUAUGGCACCCUCCAUUCCAAUAGCACCCUCUUCUCCCUGCAUCAUCUUCAAAAGCUCGACCUCUCUGACAAUGAUUUCAAUAACUCCCAUAUUUCUCCUCGAUUUGGCCAGUUUUCCAAUCUGGCACUUCUUAACCUAAAUUCCUCAGUCUUUGCAGGUCAAGUUCCGUCGGAAAUCUCUCAUCUCUCCAAAUUGGUUUCACUUGAUCUCUCUGGAAACUACGAUCCAAGUCUAGAACCAAUUUCUUUGGCCAAGCUGGUUCGAAAUCUAACCGAACUUAGAGAACUCGAUUUGAGUCGGGUAAACAUGUCAUUGGUUGCACCCAAUUCCUUGACGAAUUUGUCCUCUUCUUUGUCAUCUCUUUCCCUUUGGGGUUGUGGAUUGCAGGGGAAAUUCCCAGGUAACAUCUUUCUCCUCCCAAAGCUUGAAUCACUGGAUAUGUCAUACAACAACCGCCUCACUGGCUCUUUUCCUUCGUCCAAUUUGAGUAAUGUCCUCUCUUCGUUGGAUCUUUCUAAUACAAGAAUUUCAGUUUAUUUAGAAAACGACUUGAUCAGUAAUCUAAAGUCAUUAGAAUAUAUGUAUCUCCGUAAUAGUAACAUUAUAAGGUCAGAUUUAGCUCCGCUCGGUAAUCUCACACAGCUCAUCCUUUUAGACUUCUCAAGUAACAAUUUUAUAGGUGAAAUCCCAUCAUUACUUGGAAACCUUGUACAACUCCGUUACCUGAAACUCGAUUCCAAUAAAUUUAUGGGUCAGAUUCCAGAUUCUUUGGGUAGCCUUUUAAAUCUAAGGACUCUAAGUUUAUAUGGUAACUUGUUCAAUGGAACAAUACCAUCCUUUUUGUUUGCUCUUCCUUCUUUACAAUAUCUUGACCUUCAUAACAAUAAUCUCAUAGGCAAUAUAAGUGAACUCC